CAAAUUUCUGCCCUAUCAACUUUCGAUGGUAUUGGUCUUGGCUUACCAUGGUUUCAACGGGUAACGGGAAUUUAGGGUUCUAUUCCGGAGAGGGAGCCUGAGAAACGGCUACCACAUCCAAGGAAGGCAGCAGGCGCGCAAAUUACCCAAUCCUGAUACAGGGAGGUAGUGACAAUAAAUACUGAUACAGGGCUCUUUUGGGUCUUGUAAUUGGAAUGAGUACAAUUUAAAUCCCUUAACGAGGAACAAUUGGAGGGCAAGUCUGGUGCCAGCAGCCGCGGUAAUUCCAGCUCCAAUAGCGUAUAUUAAAGUUGUUGCAGUUAAAAAGCUCGUAGUUGAACCUUGGGCCUGGCUGGCCGGUCCGCCUCACCGCGUGCACUGGUCCGGCCGGGCCUUUCCUCCUGGGGAGCCGCAUGCCCUUCACUGGGUGUGUCGGGGAACCAGGACUUUUACUUUGAAAAAAUUAGAGUGUCAAAGCAGGCCUAUGCUCGAAUACAUUAGCAUGGAAUAAUAGAAUAGGACGU
rnacentral:rRNA from 1 species